rnacentral:rRNA from 1 species
UUAAAUUGAAGAGUUUGAUCAUGGCUCAGAUUGAACGCUGGCGGCAGGCCUAACACAUGCAAGUCGAACGGUAACAGGAAGCAGCUUGCUGCUUCGCUGACGAGUGGCGGACGGGUGAGUAAUGUCUGGGAAACUGCCUGAU